GCCGGCGUAGCUCAGUGGUUAGAGCAAGGUCUUCAUAAGGCCGAGGUCGCAGGUUCGAUCCCUGCCGCCGGUA
rnacentral:tRNA from 1 species